rnacentral:lncRNA from 1 species
UUUUUUUUUUUUUCUUGAGACAGAGUCUCGCCCUGUCGCCCAGACUGGAGUGCAAUGGCGUAAUCUCGGCUCACUGCAAUCUCCAUCUCCCUGAUUUAAAUGAUUGUCCUGGCUCAGCCUCCUGAGUAGUUGGGAUUACAGGCACCUGCCACCAUGCCUAGCUAAUUUUUAUAUUUUUAGUAGAAACGGGGCUUCACCAUGUUGGCCAGGCUGGCCUUGAACCCCUGACCUCGUGAUCUGCCCACCUCGGCCUCCCAAAGUGCUGGGAUUCCAGGAGUGAAUCAUCAUGCCCGGCCUUGCCUUUAUAUUCCAAGACUUACACAAGUACCAAGUCUCUCCUGGAUGUUCACACCUUUGGCUUUGGACUGAGAGUUACAUCUUCAACUUCUUUCGUUCUGAGGACUUUGGACUUGGACUGAGCUACACUACCAGCAUCUCAUCCUCCACCUUGCAGGAAAUCUGUUGCAGGUCUUCUCAACCACCAUAAUCAGAACUACCCUGGAAGCUCCCUCAAAGAAUACAUCCUGGUUUGACUAUCCUAAACUGUUGGAAGUGCAUUAAAUUGUAAAUGACUGCUGAAUGUCAUUCCUUGCCAGUUGCUUCUGACCAUGAUUUGAUAGAUAUUCCACCUCAUCUUAGACAUCUAUUAGAAACAGUAGACCAUGAUCCUAUUUCUUACAUCUCCGUGUAAAAUAGCUGUUGGACUCUCUGAGUAUCUACCCCAUCUGCAUUACCACGACAGUCACUCGGUCAUUCCAAGGAUAGACAAAUGUUGUCCAGUGAGUGUCUGGAUAACACAGGGUAGAUUGAUGGCCUUUAGGCAGUUUUUUUUUUUUUUUAAAUCAAGCACUAAAUGUAAUUAUUCUAACUUAAUUGGAAACUCUAAGGUUUACCAGCCAGAGAGAGGCCAUGUUCACUGUGCCAUCAACUAGUACUUCCUGAGUGAUGUAGGUAUACUCGGUAGAUCUCCAACAUAAUUAACUUUCCCUUUAGGGACACCAUAUACAUCCCUGCGGCUGUACUUACGGGAAGCCAGAAAUUAAGUUGCUUCCCUCCCAGAAACAUGGUAAUUGCACCUAAGGGGUGAUAGCGUGAUAGUGAAAGACUUUUAAUUGUUUAAGAAAACACGACAGUAGAUUAUGUAGCCUUCAAAUAAAUGCUUAGAUAGCUAAAAAAUGAGGUUAUGCUUGGUUACUUGGUGCAUUUGGCUGAAUGAUGACCCCCCUUCCCCAAAUAUAUAUCCAUAUUCUGAUACUUAGAGCCUGUGAAUGCCACAUUAUUUUCUGAUAAAACGGGUCUUGGCAGAUGCUUGAGAUAAGGAUAUCAUUUGUAUUAUCUAUGUGAGCCCUAAAUGAUUAAUGACAAGGGUUCUUAUAAAAGAGAGGUGGAAAAAUAUUCGAGAGACAGAAAGGAGAAGGUAAUGUGACCACAGAGACAGAGAUAGCGGUGAGUCCACUGCAAGCCAAAGAA